GAUUAAGUUAUUAAGGGCGCACGGUGGAUGCCUUGGCACUAGAAGCCGAUGAAGGACGUUACUAACGACGAUAUGCUUUGGGGAGCUGUAAGUAAGCUUUGAUCCAGAGAUUUCCGAAUGGGGAAACCCAGCAUGAGUUAUGUCAUGUUAUCGAUAUGUGAAUACAUAGCAUAUCAGAAGGCACACCCGGAGAACUGAAACAUCUUAGUACCCGGAGGAAGAGAAAGAAAAUUCGAUUCCCUUAGUAGCGGCGAGCGAAACGGGAAGAGCCCAAACCAACAAGCUUGCUUGUUGGGGUUGUAGGACACUCUAUACGGAGUUACAAAGGACGACAUUAGACGAAUCAUCUGGAAAGAUGAAUCAAAGAAGGUAAUAAUCCUGUAGUCGAAAAUGUUGUCUCUCUUGAGUGGAUCCUGAGUACG
rnacentral:rRNA from 1 species